rnacentral:rRNA from 1 species
GUACACUCCUGCGGGAGGCAGCAGUGGGGAAUAUUGCACAAUGGGCGCAAGCCUGAUGCAGCCAUGCCGCGUGUAUGAAGAAGGCCUUCGGGUUGUAAAGUACUUUCAGCGGGGAGGAAGGCGAUAAGGUUAAUAACCUUGUUGAUUGACGUUACCCGCAGAAGAAGCACCGGCUAACUCCGUGCCAGCAGCCGCGGUAAUACGGAGGGUGCAAGCGUUAAUCGGAAUUACUGGGCGUAAAGCGCACGCAGGCGGUCUGUCAAGUCGGAUGUGAAAUCCCCGGGCUCAACCUGGGAACUGCAUUCGAAACUGGCAGGCUAGAGUCUUGUAGAGGGGGGUAGAAUUCCAGGUGUAGCGGUGAAAUGCGUAGAGAUCUGGAGGAAUACCGGUGGCGAAGGCGGCCCCCUGGACAAAGACUGACGCUCAGGUGCGAAAGCGUGGGGAGCAAACAGGAUUAGAAACCCCGGUAGUCCCAUGAU